AUCGCUUCUCGGCCUUUUGGCUAAGAUCAAGUGUAGUAUCUGUUCUUAUCAGUUUAAUAUCUGAUACGUCCCCCAUCGGGGGACUAUACAUAUUAAAUGGAUUUUUCGAACAGGGAGUCGGAAGCGGGGCUUGCUCCGUCCGCUCCACGCAUCGACUCGGUAUUGCAGUACCUCCGAGAACCGGUGCACCUCUG
rnacentral:snRNA from 1 species